rnacentral:rRNA from 1 species
UACGUAGGGUGCGAGCGUUAAUCGGAAUUACUGGGCGUAAAGCGUGCGUAGGUGGUUCGUUGUGUCUGUGGUGAAAGCCCCGGGCUUAACCUGGGAAUGGCCAUGGAAACUGGCGAGCUGGAGUCUGGCAGAGGGGGGUAGAAUUCCGCGUGUAGCAGUGAAAUGCGUAGAGAUGCGGAGGAACACCGAUGGCGAAGGCAGCCCCCUGGGUCGACACUGACGCUCAGGCACGAAAGCGUGGGGAGCAAACAGG